AUGUUCUGGAUCCGCCAGAGACCCGGGCAAGGGCUGGAGUUCAUUGCCCACAUCAGCUACGACAGCGGCACAACCAUCUACGCGCCGUCGGUGCAGGGUCGGUUCAGGAUCUGCAGGGACAACGGGCAGAGCUCGGUGACGCUGACCAUGAACAACCUCAAGGACGAGGAUUCCAGAUCCUAUUUCUGCGCCAGAAGUUUCCGUGGUGGUUACAGUGGCAUUACGCUUGGGCUCCGGGCGGCCGUGACCCUGCUGGAGUGCGGGGGGGACCUCCAGCCCCCCGGGGGGUCCCUGCGCCUCCUCUGCCGAGGGUCUGGCUUCGAUUUCGGGAGUUUCACCAUGUGCUGGGUGCGCCAGAGACCCGGGCAGGUGCUGGAGUGGCUCGCGGGGAUCUACAGCAAUGGUGGCAGCACAUACUACGCACCCUCGGUCAAGGGUCGGUUCACGAUCUCCAGGGACAACGGGCAGAGCUCGGUGACGCUGACCAUGAACAACCUCAAGGACGAGGAUUCCGGAUCCUAUUUCUGUGCCAGGACCUGUUCUAAUAGUGCUGGUGCUAAUGAUGCCUGUGGCUUUGGCUCCAAGCCCAGUGCCGAGUCCCCCCAGUCCCCAGAGCCCAGACCCUUCCCCCUGUCCCCCAACCCCAGACCCAGCUCUUGA